UGGAACCAAGAUUUUGCUACAAACACGCAAACAUGUAAGGAAUGGAGGCACGCCAGAUCGAUGGGCUAAUUGGUCCGAGUAAUCUUCAUCCAAGAGCACCCAUUUCUUGCGGACUAUAUAGAUAAUGACGUCUCUUGCCCUAUGACGAUCUCUUGUCCUUCAAUUAAAGCACCAAGUUCUGAUGACGUCAUCCAACUAGUGCAGAAGAGGGUACCACGUGAUCAUCCUAUGGCAAUCCGUCCACAGAUGAAAGGAAUUGAUCUGAAUAUUGUAUGCUCCAUACCAGCUUGUUUGUCUAACCCUUGUCUACACGGAGGUACCUGUAAUGAGACCAUUGAUGGAUAUGAGUGUCACUGCCUCUUCAGUUUUACUGGCAAACGAU